GCGCUUGCUUUGGCAGCACAUAUACGGAAUCUGGAAUGUUGCAGAGAAGAUGAGCACAGCCCUGCACAAGGAUGACAUGCACAUUCGUGAAACAUUCCAUAUAUUU
ensembl:snRNA U6 U6 spliceosomal RNA